rnacentral:lncRNA from 1 species
UUAUUUUGGAAUUAAGUGAAGGAGAAAGGUAUCUCAUAGGGCCUUUUGAGUGACCGUUCACUCUCUUUCUUUCUGAGCACUCUUAUUGUACAGGUUGGAACACCAAUCGAGUGUAAGGAUUUUAGGAAGCAUACACUUGUGAAAUUCAGGCUAUAGGUUGAAAAAUCUCAAAUUGGGUCUUAUUUCUCAAAAAUCAUCAUGAAAUCUCCAAUGAGUAAGAAUAAAGAAUGAAAUGUACAUAAAUAUACACAAAACAAAAAUUAUCCAAAAAAAAAUUAUUGUUGAAAAAGUUUGAAACAAAAUUUCUCAAUCAAUUAUGAUACAAAUGAGAAGAGAGAAACUCGUAAAGAGCUCAACACAUACACUUUUUGUCUCCUUUUCUUUUGGAACAAAAUGUAUUAACAAAUCAAAUAAAUAGAAUUUCCCCUUUAUGCUUUCGCGGCAAUGUCUGCCCAAGAAUCAAGCAAUACUUGUAAUCGUCAAGCUUUAUUGGAUCAAAAUUAUCAGAUAUAGAAGAAUAUUCUCGCCUUAUUGAAACAUUUUUAUAAAUGCAGGGGGGGGAAAACAAAAAGAAAAAUACCCAGAGUCAGUAAGUAAGAAUAAAAAAUCGGUAUGCAUGUCCUAUGGGGGAACCCUUUUUGUGCCAAGGGUAGGCCUAGAAUGAGGAUGCAAUCCUCUGAAGUAGGCACUAUACCAUACCUGAUGGAUCCAAUCAGCUCAUGGAGUGAAAAAAAUAAUUUUGAAAGAAUUUGGUCAAUUGGAAUGAGAAGGGACGUUUGUCAAAAUAAGGACCUCGUCCGCAAGGAUUGAUCACUUUUGAUCGGUACAAGAUUUUGCAAAAACGCACGGGUUUGACCUUGACGAACUUCCUAUCAAAGAGAUUGGAAUUCGUUGAUAAAAUUUCUCAGUGAAUUACGGGUCAAAACCCUAAU